GACGAACGCUGGCGGCGUGCCUAAUACAUGCAAGUUGAGCGGUGAAGAUUGGUGCUUGCACCAAUUUGAAGAGCAGCGAACGGGUGAGUAACGCGUGGGGAAUCUGCCUCUGAGCGGGGGACAACAUUUGGAAACGAAUGCUAAUACCGCAUAACAACUUUAAACAUAAGUUUUAAGUUUGAAAGAUGCAAUUGCAUCACUCAAAGAUGAUCCCGCGUUGUAUUAGCUAGUUGGUGAGGUAAAGGCUCACCAAGGCGAUGAUACAUAGCCGACCUGAGAGGGUGAUCGGCCACAUUGGGACUGAGACACGGCCCAAACUCCUACGGGAGGCAGCAGUAGGGAAUCUUCGGCAAUGGACGAAAGUCUGACCGAGCAACGCCGCGUGAGUGAAGAAGGUUUUCGGAUCGUAAAACUCUGUUGGUAGAGAAGAACGUUGGUGAGAGUGGAAAGCUCAUCAAGUGACGGUAACUACCCAGAAAGGGACGGCUAACUACGUG
rnacentral:rRNA from 1 species